rnacentral:lncRNA from 1 species
CCAUCCAUUACUAUCAUCUAUAUCAUUUAAAGAAUUAGGAUCAAGGGUGUCAUGCAAGUUGUAUCUCUAUGGUAAGGCUUAAUUAUAUUUAACAUAUACCAAAUUACUCAAGGGAUCUUGUGCCAGCUUUUUUUUUUUUUUUUUGCUAUGAACCUAACAAAUUCAUGUAUAAGAUGUUAUAUAUUAUGUGGAAUAUCUGAAUUAUCA